GAUGAACGCUGGCGGCGUGCCUAAUACAUGCGAGUCGAGCGAACAGACGAGGAGCUUGCUCCUCUGACGUUAGCGGCGGACGGGUGAGUAACACGUGGAUAACCUACCUAUAAGACUGGGAUAACUUCGGGAAACCGGAGCUAAUACCGGAUAAUAUAUUGAACCGCAUGGUUCAAUAGUGAAAGACGGUUUUGCUGUCACUUAUAGAUGGAUCCGCGCCGCAUUAGCUAGUUGGUAAGGUAACGGCUUACCAAGGCAACGAUGCGUAGCCGACCUGAGAGGGUGAUCGGCCACACGGGAACUGAAACACGGUCCAGACCCCUAGGGAGGCAGCAGUAGGGAAUCUUCCGCAAUGGGCGAAAGCCUGACGGAGCAACGCCGCGUGAGUGAUGAAGGUCUUCGGAUCGUAAAACUCUGUUAUUAGGGAAGAACAAAUGUGUAAGUAACUAUGCACGUCUUGACGGUACCUAAUCAGAAAGCCACGGCUAACUACGUG
rnacentral:rRNA from 1 species